rnacentral:rRNA from 1 species
UACGUAGGGUGCAAGCGUUAUCGGAAUUACUGGGCGUAAAGCGUGCGCAGGCGGUGAUGUAAGACAGAUGUGAAAUCCCCGGGCUCAACCUGGGAACUGCAUUUGUGACUGCAUCGCUGGAGUGCGGCAGAGGGGGAUGGAAUUCCGCGUGUAGCAGUGAAAUGCGUAGAUAUGCGGAGGAACACCGAUGGCGAAGGCAAUCCCCUGGGCCUGCACUGACGCUCAUGCACGAAAGCGUGGGGAGCAAACAGG